CUACGGGGUGCUCCAGUGGGGAAUAUUGCACAAUGGGCGCAAGCCUGAUGCAGCCAUGCCGCGUGUAUGAAGAAGGCCAUCGGGUUGUAAAGUACUUUCAGCGGGGAGGAAGGGAGUAAAGUUAAUACCUUUGCUCAUUGACGUUACCCGCAGAAGAAGCACCGGCUAACUCCGUGCCAGCAGCCGCGGUAAUACGGAGGGUGCAAGCGUUAAUCGGAAUUACUGGGCGUAAAGCGCACGCAGGCGGUUUGUUAAGUCAGAUGUGAAAUCCCCGGGCUCAACCUGGGAACUGCAUCUGAUACUGGCAAGCUAGGGUCUCGUAGAGGGGGGUAGAAUUCCAGGUGUAGCGGUGAAAUGCGUAGAGAUCUGGAGGAAUACCGGUGGCGAAGGCGGCCCCCUGGACGAAGACUGACGCUCAGGUGCGAAAGCGUGGGGAGCAAACAGGAUUAGAUACCCUUGUAGUC
rnacentral:rRNA from 1 species